UACUUCUGAGAAAACAGAACAUUGUGUUAUCCAAAGCCCAUUGUUUGCCCAUUAAUCUUGUUGUUGUGGGGCUACUUGAUAGGUUGCUUACCUAUAACUGUGUUUAAGUGGUCCUCUGUGAGUUCACACAAAUGGGUUUAACUGCACCUGCACAGGUUCCAAUAGAAAGUUUUCCAAGCUCUAAUUUUAAGUUUUGGUGGGAACCCUGUCCACUCCUCUCCAGGGCAUAAAAAGCACCUUGGCCAGGCAGCUCCCCAAAGCUGCAAGCAGGUAGAAAAUGGGAGGUUUGCAUGUUAAAGGAACAGCCGGGUUUGUGUGAAUUCACAGAGGAUUACUCAAAGAAAUACAGUUACAGAUAAGCAACCUGUCCUUCUUCCUCGUGGUCUCUGUGAAUACACACAAAUGGACACUAGCAAGUUUAGGUGCAGGAAGGUAGAACACAUAUAAAACCCACUAAAGUAGUGCAAAAAACAAAACAAAAACAACUCAAGUUUAUUGAGCAGAACACUUUUGAUUGCUAAAGUACAUAAUAAUCACUCAUAAAAAAAGGCUAAAAGAGUCCUUAUGAGAAAGAAAUAACAGUACAGCUACAUAGCUGUGUUGGCCAAAGGCAAACUGACUCAAAAGCCAGUUUAGUAACAGGUAUACAUAGUGCUAAACAAUUCAAGACUGUGGUACAUACUUGAAAACAUGGCUCUUCCGUUGCGCUUUUGGAGAGUAACUACCUUAUAUUUCUUUUCCGUUGCUCCCUCUAAUAUCUUUCCUCUAGACUACACCACUUUCUUGACCCUGUUCGCUGUGGUUUUUUAUCCUUAUGUCUUUCUCACCCCGAGUUUUAACUAAAUGUUCAUGUAGUCCGCCUUCGUUUUUAUUGUUUUCUUGAUUUGUUUGAAAUGGAUAUUAUUAUUUAUUGUAUUGUUUACUGUGUUGUGAUGUGUUGUUUUUUAUAUGCUGUUAUAUUGUAUUGUCCUGGGCAUGGCCCCAUGUAAGCCGCCCCGAGUCCCCGUUGGGGAGAUGGUGGCGGGGUAUAAAUAAAGUUUUAUUAUUAUUAUUACUAUUAUUAUUACAUAUAUGUUAAAGAAAACUAAUAAAAGUAACAGUUUUAAGUAAAGUGCAAACAGAUUGAUGGCUUCAAUGACACAGAUAUGGCAUUGUUGUGUAGUUGAAAAAAACUCUUUUCUGGGAAGAGAUAUGAAGGCCUUAAAGAGGAGAUUGCCAGGUUCCUUCUCAACAGCAUGAGGAGGAAGCCGAGGAUGCCUGGGAUUGAAGCUAUAACAACUGAAGUUCCCCGAGAGGUGAGGAAGACAAGCAGGUACAUUUGUAGGUGUGGGAUUCUGAUGUAGCCGGUUUGUGUGCUGCCCAAAGGAUGGUGUAGAGACCUUCGGGGAGGUCAUCUAGAAGAUAAUCCUCCAGGUGGUAAAGUGGAGGGAGGGAACAUUCAUGUGUAGUAUCCUGCUGCCCUCUGACAAGAGAAGAUGAGGGACUGGAGGGAAGGUGUGGUGGUGAUCCAUUAUGGCAGAGUACCAUGUCUGUCUGGACCAGGUCAGCACCACUAACAUGCAGUUGGUGUGGUGAAGGGUGAUUUGCUCAAUCAUUCUCAGAAUGAAGGGGAGAGACGGUAAGGCAUAGAAGAGGGACCUAUCCAUUUGAGAAGGAAGGCAUCCCCAAGGCAGUCUGUUGAGGCCUCAGGUUUUUUCCUGGCUGUGAAGAGGUUCAGUUGGGCAUCUAUCAAUGGCCAACCCCCAACAGUUGAAAACUGGGUGAAGGUGUUGGGGGUCGAGCCUCCAUCAUGGCAGGUCAAGCUAGAGUGGUUGAGGCAGUCUGCGAGGUUGUGUUGUUUUCCCAGGACAUGUGUUACUAGAGUGUUAUGUUGUAAUUGAUACAUCAAUCCCAUAACUAAAGAAAGACUGCUUGCAGCCUUCUGGACCCAGUGUCUCCUUGUUUAUAUAAUACAUUGCCGUGGUGUUGUCUGUGAGGAUCAGCACAUGGCUGUCUUGGAGUACCAGAAUGAAUGCUCAAAGGACCUUGAAGAUAGCCAGGAGUUCGAGGAGGUUGAUGUGGUUCUCAGAUUCUGUUGGAGACCACAGGGCCUGGAUAGAGAGGUGCCUGCAGUGAGCUCCUCAUCCAAAGUAGGAGUCUGUUGUCGAAGGCUUUCAUGGUUGGAAUCACAGAGUUGUUGUGUGUUUUCCAGGCUGUCUGGCCAUGUUCCAGAAGCAUUCUCUCCUGACUAUGGUAGGCAUCCUCAGAGGUUGUGAGGUAUAUACCUCUGAAGAUGCCUGCCAUAGAUGUGGGUAAAAUGUUGGGAGAGAAUGCUUCUGGAACAUGGUCAUACAGCAUGGAAAACACACAACAACCCUAGGAUGAGUCUAUCAUCAGGGAUUGGGUUGAAGAAGGCUUGUGGAACAGUAGCCCCAUGCAGACAUUGCUUUUGAUCUUUCACCAAGAUAGGAAUUGAGGGAUCAGUCUCAGGAUGGUGAGAUACUUUGAGUUGUGUUGUACUGAGGGAUUGAAGCUGUCCACUAACCACUUCUGGAAGGGACAGAUGUAAAGUCAUGCAUAGGGUGUGACCAAGAACUCUCUGAAUAAUGUCCAGAAUCCACACAUCGGAAUAGAUGUGUGUCCAAGACAGGUGAAGCAGAAUAGAAGUCCUUUAUAUGGUAAGAAGGGACUGAUGUAUAAUAGAUGGAUUGGUAAAAGUGCAGUGAGAUUGGCAUUUAUACCAGAUGAGGAGCUUGCAUUAUCUCAGGACCCAUCAAAUAUGGUUCCGAGGUAGAUUGGCUGUGUUUGGGCAGUUUCACUGGUGCUGGCCCUGAUGAUUUUUCUGCUGUGACUGAGGAAUCAAGAUUGGAGGCAACUUUUGGUUGUGGCGAAAUAGUGGUUGUAUCUCCUGCACCGAUGAGGCUGCCAGCAUGGUUUCUGAUGGUGAGUGGAAGCUGAAGGUAUUCCACACUUGGCUAGAGGUUUAAAAUCUUGGUUGGACUUAAGUUUGUUCAUGCCUGCACUGAAGAGUCCUAGGGCAUCGAAUGGGAGGUAUUCUAUGACCUGUUGAGAGGCUGAGAAGUCUUGAGGACCAAAGCUAUAUAGAUAUGUCAUCACAAUUGUAUAUGCAAUUAUCUUGCCUGCAGUAUCCACUGUAUGCUUCACCAUCUGAGUCUCAUGGUGAGCUAGCAACAUUGCUUCUUGCUGGAGGGUGUUGAGAACUGCCCUGUCCUCAUGCAACAGUUUAGCAUGAAACGAGGUCACUUUUUCCCAGUUUUUGGUAAGCCGUCAUGCAGGCUCCACAGUUUGCUAUUCUGGUAAGCAGGGAUGCAAUGGAAAAUAGCUUUCUCCCUACGGUGUCGAAACACUUGCCUUCUCUACUGGCCAGAGAUAUUUUGCUUGUCGGACGAUUGAAACUUUUUACUACCACUGAGUUAGUAGAUGGAUGGUGUGCCGGUCAGUCAUGUUCUUGAUCUUCGAUCGUUUUAUCUUUUUAGAUGUGGGCAGAACUGAUGAGAUUACUUCUAACAGAUAAGAGAGAAAUGACAGCAAGGGGGAGCUUCUCCUUGGACCUUCUUAAAGACAGGGCCAUUGAUGGUUUCAACACCUAGAAUUUUAGAAUAGUUGGAAGAGACCUCAUGGGCAAUCCAGUCCAACCCCCUGCCAAGAAGCAGGAACAUCGCAUUCACCUGUUUGACUUUGAUGUCAAGAGCUUCAGUCAUCCGUACCAUCUGUUCUCCCAAGGCCCUGACGUUGUCUGUGGGCAAAGAAGGGUAGACAGCGUCAUUUGGUGGAGAGAGCUCUAUUCCAAACGAUAAUACUGAGGCCAAGUCCUCAGAGCAGGCAUCAUGGUCAGUUGUCAGAGGAACAUGGUUCUUCUACCCCUUACUUCUGGAUCCUGAAGUGUUUAUAUGCAGAGGCAGAGGUUGUUUUGAAGCAAAUGUUUGAGCUAUUGUGACAAGCCUGGAUGUCUGCUGGCCACAGUUAUGUUGAGAGGUUGUGGGCUGGGCUGGGAAAAGCUGCUGGCAGGCCUGUGGUGGCAAUCAUGGAGUGGUCACAUUCAGCCUUUGUAUAGCAGUGCCCAAGGACCUCUGAGGGGAGUCUUGGAGCUUACCUUCUGAGAAGGAUUCAGCAACCCAAUCCUGAGGCGAACAUGGGGUCUGUAUUGGAGUGAUGGCAAUGAAAGGACUGUUCUGAGAAGGUUCCCAAUCCUAUUCUGGAUAAAGCAGACAAAAUGGGCUGAUAUGUCUUCCCUCUUUUGGAGGACUUUUUCUUUUGGAGCUUGGCUUCAAGUCAUUUUUCUGAUGUGGAAGGAAUAGUUCUUGUAGACAUAUGUCCAGUGGCUUCUCCUCUCUUGGCCUCUUUAUGAGAUCUCUUAAAUGUGAUUCUCAUUGAAGAUGAGGAUGGCAGAGUGGCAGUUAUGGAGUGUGCUGAUUAUAUCGACAUGAUCGAAACCAAUGUCAACGCCACUAUUGAGGGUGUCAAUGUUUUUUGCAGGUCACUUAGAUAUAGUCUCCUCCGAGCCCCAACUCCUGCCUCCUCCUCUUCCGAGAACUGUCCCUGGGCCAUUCUGAGGAGGGCCGCUGGAGGGAUGAAGGAGGAGGUUAAGAGCAGCAGCAGCAGUCGCCAGUGCAGGGCUCCCACCGCCAGAGCCAUGGCGACUUUGGAGAACUUUUCAGCAAGGAGUCUCCGCUGCCGCCGCCCCUCUCGUAUAAACAGCCAGAACUCUACUAGCCCAGAAAAGGCUCGUGAAAGAAAUCCUGACUUUAGACACCUGAAUUAUCAAAACAAUGGACUUUAUGGAAAUGGACUCCAUGACUUUUUCAUUGGAUGACCAGAAAACCAGAUGCUGAAUGGACUGGUCAACUAAUAAAGAUUUCCUCCAGGAAAGAAAAAUUAAUAUACAGAUAGAUUAACUCAAUUAUAGCAUAGAGCAUGAGAAUGUUAAGACGAAAGAGAAAACUCCCUGUGGAAUGGACCGGAAGACAAAUGCCCAUCCCCCCCCCCAACACACCCCCUCAUCCUCCUCUCUGCCCUCCUUUCCCCCUUUCAUACCUUCUGUUUGUUUGCUUUCUCCCCCCUUUGCUUUCCCCACCCAUCCUAUCCUAUCCCUGGCUGAUCCCUUCCCAAUCAUCCUAUUCAUUUUUUAUGAAUAGAAUUCGCCUAAUCAUUCCUCUGGGCUAAAUAUACCAUUAGGCAAGAUGGGCAAAAAUAGCCAGCACAAAAUUGUCAGCCAAAUCCUUCAGGGACUUUGUCUGCAACUUCAGACCAUGCCAACUGGUAGGUUCGACCUAUUUGCCCACCGAGCAUAGACCUAUAGGUAUGCCUCCUUAGUAUUACACUCAGCACUUUAACGACUACAUCAGCUGGGUAACUACCCCCUCCUUGAUGACCUCAACAUAUUUUGCACUUUGGCCCAGAUCCGUGAAUUCAACUCAUGUUUUUAAUAUCCAUUUUGUAUGCUGAUUUUUAUGACUGUUUUUAUCAAUAUUGUUGUUUUUAUUGUUGAUUGAUUUGUUUUAUUGCAUUGUUUGCUUUUAUAUUGUUAUGUCCGGGCAUGGCCCCAUGUAAGCCGCCCCGAGCCCCUUCGGGGAGAUGGGGCGGGGUAUAAGAAUAAAGUUGUUGUUGUUGUUGUU